AGAGUUUGAUCCUGGCUCAGAACGAACGCUGGCGGCGCGUUUUAAGCAUGCAAGUCGAGCGGCAAGGGCCUUCGGGCCCCUAGAGCGGCGGACGGGUGAGUAACACGUGGACAAUCUGCCCCCCGGCCGGGGAUAGCCCAGGGAAACCUGGAUUAAUACCGGAUGAGACGGGACCCGCGGAGGCGGGAUCCGGGAAAGGCGCUGCGGCGCCGCCGGGGGAUGAGUCUGCGUCCCAUUAGCUUGACGGCGGGGUAACGGCCCACCGUGGCGACGAUGGGUAGCCGGCCUGAGAGGGUGUACGGCCACAUUGGAACUGAGACACGGUCCAGACUCCUACGGGAGGCAGCAGCUAAGAAUCUUCCGCAAUGGGCGAAAGCCUGACGGAGCGACGCCGCGUGAACGAAGAAGGCCGUGAGGUUGUAAAGUUCUUUUCGGGAGGGGGAACGACCGUGGCAGGGAAUGGCCGCGGGAUGACGUGAAUCCCGGAAUAAGCCCCGGCUAACUACGUGCCAGCAGCCGCGGUAACACGUAGGGGGCGAGCGUUGUUCGGAAUCAUUGGGCGUAAAGGGCGUGCAGGCGGUCCUGCAAGUCCGGCGUGAAAGACCCCGGCCCAACCGGGGGGGCGCGCUGGAAACUGCAGGGCUUGAGUACAGGAGGGGAUGCCGGAAUUCCAGGUGUAGGGGUGAAAUCUGUAGAUAUCUGGAGGAACACCAAUGGCGAAGGCAGGCAUCUGGCCAUGUACUGACGCUGAGACGCGAAGGUGCGGGGAGCAAACAGGUUUAGAUACCCUGGUAGUCCGCACAGUAAACGAUGUGCACCAGGUGGCGGGGGGUCGACCCCCGGUACCGUAGCCAACGCAUUAAGUGCACCGCCUGGGGAGUAUGCUCGCAAGGGUGAAACUCAAAGGAAUUGACGGGGGCCCGCACAAGCGGUGGAGCAUGUGGUUUAAUUCGAUGGUACGCGAGGAACCUUACCAGGGCUUGACAUGCGCCGGAAGCGCACCGAAAGGUGCGUGCCGCUUGCGGCCGGCGCACAGGUGCUGCAUGGCUGUCGUCAGCUCGUGCUGUGAAGUGUUGGGUUAAGUCCCGCAACGAGCGCAACCCCUGCUGCCUGUUGCCACCACGAGAGGUGGGGACUCAGGCGGGACCGCCGGUGACAAACCGGAGGAAGGUGGGGACGACGUCAAGUCAUCAUGGCCCUUAUG
rnacentral:rRNA from 1 species